UUUUUUUAAGACGUGCAUAGCACGUUUUUCAUUAAGAAGCGGAGAAUUACAAAGAUGAAGUUUCGGGAGAAACCACAAAGAGCAGAGUUACAAGAGCUAUGACCUGCGACAAAUAGCACAAACACGACAACAGAGAAGAAAACCACCUCACCACCACCACACAAAACAUGACCUAAGACGACUAAAGCCUACAGGGGAGAAAGACGUCAUGAACACACACACGUCACCGACUGUCUAACAACCAGAAGCCAAC
rnacentral:lncRNA from 1 species